UGGGGCUGUGGGGUGCCUGGAUCUGUGGGGCUUGGGGGAUCUAUGGGGCUGGGGGCUGUGGGGUGCCUGGAUUUGUGGGGCUGGGGGAUCUAUGGGGCUGUGGGGUGCCUGGAUCUGUGGGGCUGGGGGAUCUAUGGGGCUGGAGGAUCCCCCAGCCCCAUCUCGCUGUGCAGGCAGCAGGAGGUGCAGAGGAGCGGCGCGUGGCGACCCCGUGCAGAGCAUCGCCAUGGGGACGGCGCACACAGAGGGCGCGUUGUGAAGGGCUGCAGGGCCGCUAUGGGGUGGACGUGUGGGGCCGCUGUGGGGCGGACGUGUGGGGCCGCUGUGGGGCGGACGUGUGGGGCUCUAUGGGGCAAUAAAGAGUUUUGGUGCCGGUGGCGCAGAGCCCCCCCUGUGCCCAUCGCUGUGUGUGGCACUGCGGCCUUUCCCACACCCCACUCCCAUUACGCCCCCAUUUCCCAU
ensembl:lncRNA